rnacentral:rRNA from 1 species
CAGUUAAAAGCUCGUAGUUGGAUUUCGGAAGGUCCUUAGUAAUCCGCCCCUUCGGGGAGCGGGUUGCUGGCCUCCUAUGUUCCUAACGGUCCUCAUCCGCGAGGGUGGGGAAUCAACCGCUAGGAUCGUUUACUUUGAGGAAAUUAGAGUGUUCAAAGCAGGCGUAACUCGCCUCCGAAUACGUUAGCAUGGGAUAAUGGAAUACGACUUCGGUCUUGUUUCGUUGGUUUCGCUUGGCUGAAGUAAUGAUUGAUAGGGACAGUUGGGGGCAUUAGUAUUUAGUUGUCAGAGGUGAAAUUCUAGGAUUUACUAAAGACUGACCAAUGCGAAAGCAUUUGCCAAGGAUGUUUUCAUUAAUCAAGAACGAAAGUAGGGGGAUCGAAGACGAUCAGAUACCGUCGUAGUCUCUACCGUAAACUAUGCCGACCAGGGAUCCGGAGAGUUUGCAUGGAUGACUCCCCGGGCACCUUGUGAGAAAUCAUAAGUGUUUGGGUUUUGGGGGGAGUAUGGUCGCAAGGCUGAAACUUAAAGGAAUUGACGGAAGGGCACCACCAGGAGUGGAACCUGCGGCUUAAUUUGAUCCAAC